rnacentral:rRNA from 1 species
AAGCUCGUAGUUGAAUUUCGGGAUCAAUAUGUCGGUCGUGCCUCGGUACGUACUGGCAUCAUUGGUUUCUUCCUUUUGAUGAACCAUGAUGCCAUUAAUUUGGUGUCGUGGGGAAUCAGGACUGUUACUUUGAAAAAAUUAGAGUGUUUAAAGCAGGCAUACGCUUGAAUACAUUAGCAUGGAAUAAUGAAAUAGGACGUUUGAUUCUAUUUUGUUGGUUUCUAGGAUCGGCGUAAUGAUUAAUAGGGAUAGUUGGG